GAUGAACGCUGGCGGCGUGCUUAACACAUGCAAGUCGAACGGUGAAGCCAAGCUUGCUUGGUGGAUCAGUGGCGAACGGGUGAGUAACACGUGAGCAACCUGCCCUGGACUCUGGGAUAAGCGCUGGAAACGGCGUCUAAUACUGGAUAUGAGCCUCUUCCGCAUGGUGGGGGUUGGAAAGAUUUUUUGGUCUGGGAUGGGUUCGCGGCUUAUCAGCUUGUUGGUGAGGUAUUGGCUCACCAAGGCGUCGACGGGUAGCCGGCCUGAGAGGGUGACCGGCCACACUGGGACUGAGACACGGCCCAGACUCCUACGGGAGGCAGCAGUGGGGAAUAUUGCACAAUGGGCGAAAGCCUGAUGCAGCAACGCCGCGUGAGGGAUGACGGCCUUCGGGUUGUAAACCUCUUUUAGCAGGGAAGAAGCGAAAGUGACGGUACCUGCAGAAAAAGCGCCGGCUAACUACGUG
rnacentral:rRNA from 1 species